AUCUAUAAAUAAAUAAUAUAUGACCUUUGUACUCUAGAAGCCUAGUAAAGACCCUGGCAGGACAUCACAGAACCUCUUAAUAUAACUUUCAGCUAUUUGUGGGAGUCUGCCUCCGUGUCACUGAGAAACAGAGUUGGAGGUGACAGUUUAGAUUUUGCCUCCUCCUUCCGGAAGCCAUUUCAGUCAUGCAGGCAGUUAUGGAUCUUACUGUGCAUUUAUAGCUUAAGGAGUCAUUUCCACUUGGAAAUAGUCCUGGGCACAGUGAAGAUGGACACAGAGUGCAGGCAAAGGUACAGCUCUGUUACUGCUUUAAGUUUCACUGAUGACAUGCAAAUCAGAAUCUGUUGACCAUUGGCUGUUCCAGAUAUGAUGUCAAAGCCAGCAAGGGAGACUUGAUGACUCAAAAGCAGAAGUAUUUUGUUAGAACACCUUUCUUGGUGAGCCUGCAUUACCUCAGCAUGUCAAGAGGAAUAUUCUCAAGUUCAGACAACACUGAAGAAUAUCAUCUGCUUGAGGAGUUUUGCAUUGCUUUCCAAAAUACAUAUUGAUUACAGCAGAGUUUAAAUAAAAC
rnacentral:lncRNA from 1 species